rnacentral:rRNA from 1 species
ACUCAAAUGAAUUGACGGGGGCCCGCACAAGCGGUGGAGCAUGUGGUUCAAUUCGAAGCAACGCGCAGAACCUUACCAGGCCUUGACAUCCCGGUCGCGGCCCCUUGAAAGAGGGGCCUUCAGUUCGGCUGGACCGGUGACAGGUGCUGCAUGGCUGUCGUCAGCUCGUGUCGUGAGAUGUUGGGUUAAGUCCCGCAACGAGCGCAACCCUCGCCCUUAGUUGCCAUCAUUUAGUUGGGCACUCUAAGGGGACUGCCGGUGAUAAGCCGCGAGGAAGGUGGGGAUGACGUCAAGUCCUCAUGGCCCUUACGGCCUGGGCUACACACGUGCUACAAUGGCGGUGACAAUGGGCAGCAAUGGCGCGAGCCGGAGCUAAUCUCAAAAAGCCGUCUCAGUUCGGAUUGCACUCUGCAACUCGGGUGCAUGAAGUUGGAAUCGCUAGUAAUCGUGGAUCAGCAUGCCACGGUGAAUACGUUCCCGGGCCUUGUACACACCGCCCGU